CAAAAACGUCGUAAUCAAAACAAACUGAAUACAAAUUUGGCUGAAAAUUUAAUUUUUUGUUUUUUCAAUAAGCUUCGAGAAAUGAGAUUAAAAUUUUCUAUUUUUAUAAGACUAUGAAGAAUGGACCUCAUUUAAGAAAUCUAUCGUCUCUUGAGAAUUCCUUUAAAGAACAUUAAGCAGUAUGGUUUUAAUGAAGCUAUAUGCUUGGGAAUGUAUGAAAAAAUAUUUGAGAGAAAGGGGUGAUAUGGUGCUUGUUAUCCUGCAUGCUAAAGUUGCUCAAAAAUCAUAUGGCAAUGAAAAAAGAGCUGUUGUGCAGCCAAAACUUUGUACAUAAGUGAUUCUGACAAAAGAAAACAUUUCAUGCUUUCUGUAAAAAUGUUUUAUGGCACUGGUGAAGAUAUUAGUGUAUUUCAUAGUAAAAGAAUCAAAGUUAUUUCCAAACCUUCAAAGA